rnacentral:rRNA from 1 species
UGGCUCAGGAUGAACGCUAGCGGGCAAGGCUUAAAUACAUGCAAGUCGUGGGGCAGCAUGAGUAGCAAUACUUGAUGGCGACCGGCAAACGGGUGAGGAACACGUACACAACCUUCCUUCAAGGCGGGGAAUAGCCCAGAGAAAUUUGGAUUAAUACCCCAUAAUAUAUUUGAUAAGGCAUCUUAUUAAUAUUAAAGCUUCGGCACUUGAUGAUGGGUGUGCGGCUGAUUAGAUAGUUGGCGGGGUAACGGCCCACCAAGUCUACGAUCAGUAGCUGAUGUGAGAGCAUGAUCAGCCACACGGGCACUGAGACACGGGCCCGACUCCUACGGGAGGCAGCAGUAAGGAAUAUUGGACAAUGGACGAAAGUCUGAUCCAGCCAUGCCGCGUGAAGGAUUAAGGUCCUCUGGAUUGUAAACUUCUUUUAUAUGGGACGAAAAAAGGGCAUUCUUGUUCACUUGACGGUACCAUAUGAAUAAGCACCGGCUAACUCCGUG